UACAGAGGUGGCAAGCGUUGUUCGGAAUUACUGGGCGUAAAGGGCGCGUAGGCGGCCUUCUAAGUCAGACGUGAAAUCCCCCGGCUUAACCUGGGAACUGCGUCUGAUACUGGGAGGCUUGAGUGCGGGAGAGGGAUGCAGAAUUCCAGGUGUAGCGGUGAAAUGCGUAGAUAUCUGGAGGAAUACCGGUGGCGAAGGCGGCAUCCUGGACCGACAUUGACGCUGAUGAGCGAAAGCUAGGGGAGCAAACGGG
rnacentral:rRNA from 1 species